UACAAAGGGGGCUAGCGUUGCUCGGAAUCACUGGGCGUAAAGCGCACGUAGGCGGAUUGUUAAGUCAGGGGUGAAAUCCUGGAGCUCAACUCCAGAACUGCCUUUGAUACUGGCGAUCUCGAGUCCGGGAGAGGUGAGUGGAACUGCGAGUGUAGAGGUGAAAUUCGUAGAUAUUCGCAAGAACACCAGUGGCGAAGGCGGCUCACUGGCCCGGUACUGACGCUGAGGCACGAAAGCGUGGGGAGCAAACAGG
rnacentral:rRNA from 1 species